rnacentral:rRNA from 1 species
UUGAGCGGAGAUUAUGGAGCUUGCUUUAUAUAACUUAGCAGCGAACGGGUGAGUAACACGUAGAUAAUCUAUCCUAUACUGGGGGAUAGCCCGAUGAAAGUUGGAUUAAUACCGCAUAUAGCUAUAUAGUUGCAUGAUUAUGUAGUGAAAGAUUUAUUGGUAUAGGAGGAGUCUGCGGCACAUUAGCUAGUAGGUGAGGUAAAGGCUUACCUAGGCGACGAUGUGUAGCCGGUCUGAGAGGAUGAACGGCCACAAUGGAACUGAGACACGGUCCAUACUCCUACGGGAGGCAGCAGUGGGGAAUAUUGCACAAUGGGGGAAACCCUGAUGCAGCAACGCCGCGUGAGUGAAGAAGGUUUUCGGAUUGUAAAGCUCUGUUAGCAGGGAAGAGGAAGGACGGUACCUGCAGAGGAAGCCACGGCUAACUACGUGCCAGCAGCCGCGGUAAUACGUAGGUGGCAAGCGUUGUUCGGAAUAACUGGGCGUAAAGGAUGCGUAGGCGGUUAAACAAGUUAUAUGUUAAAUAUAUAGGCUUAACCUGUAGAAAGCAUAUAAAACUGUUUAACUAGAGUGCAGGAGAGGUAAGUGGAAUUCCUAGUGUAGCGGUGAAAUGCGUAGAGAUUAGGAAGAACACCAGUGGCGAAGGCGACUUACUGGACUGUAACUGACGCUGAGGCAUGAAAGCAUGGGGAGCAAACAGGAUUAGAUACCCUGGUAGUCCAUGCUGUAAACGGUGGGUACUAGGUGUGGGUUGUGAAUAACAAUUCGUGCCGUCGGCAACGCAAUAAGUACCCCGCCUGA